rnacentral:rRNA from 1 species
GUUAUAGGGUCAAGCGAACAAGUGCAUGUGGUGGAUGCCUUGGCGAUCACAGGCGAUGAAGGACGCGGUAGCCUGCGAAAAGCUUCGGGGAGCUGGCAAACGAGCUUUGAUCCGGAGAUGUCCGAAUGGGGAAACCCGGCCCGAAUGGGUCAUCCCACACUGAAUCCAUAGGUGUGGGAAGCGAACGCGGCGAACUGAAACAUCUAAGUAGCUGCAGGAACAGAAAUCAACCGAGAUUCCCAGAGUAGUGGCGAACGAAAUGGGAACAGCCUUGUACUCUUUAGCAGUGUUGUUAGCAGAACGGGAUGGAAAGCCCGGCCGUAGCAGGUGAUAGCCCUGUAUGCGAAAACAGCGUUGUGGAACUAGGUGUACGACAAGUAGGGCGGGACACGUGAAAUCCUGUCUGAAGAUGGGGGGACCAUCCUCCAAGGCUAAAUACUCGUGAUCGACCGAUAGUGAACCAGUACCGUGAGGGAAAGGCGAAAAGAACCCCGGGAGGGGAGUGAAAUAGAUCCUGAAACCGCAUGCAUACAAACAGUCGGAGCCUCGUAAGGGGUGACGGCGUACCUUUUGUAUAAUGGGUCAGCGACUUACAUUCAGUGGCAAGCUUAACCGAUUAGGGCAGGCGUAGCGAAAGCGAGUCCGAACAGGGCGUUGAGUCGCUGGGUGUAGACCCGAAACCAGAUGAUCUAUCCAUGGCCAGGUUGAAGGUGCGGUAACACGUACUGGAGGACCGAACCCACUAACGUUGAAAAGUUAGGGGAUGAGCUGUGGAUAGGGGUGAAAGGCUAAACAAAUCUGGAAAUAGCUGGUUCUCUCCGAAAACUAUUUAGGUAGUGCCUCGUGUCUCACCUUCGGGGGUAGAGCACUGUCAUGGUUGGGGGGUCUAUUGCUGAUUACCCCGCCAUAGCAAACUCCGAAUACCGAAGAGUGCAAUCACGGGAGACAGACAUCGGGUGCUAACGUCCGGUGUCAAGAGGGAAACAACCCAGACCGCCAGCUAAGGUCCCCAAAUAUAGCUAAGUGGGAAACGAAGUGGGAAGGCUAAAACAGUCAGGAGGUUGGCUUAGAAGCAGCCACCCUUUAAAGAAAGCGUAAUAGCUCACUGAUCGAGUCGUCCUGCGCGGAAGAUGUAACGGGGCUAAGCUAUAUACCGAAGCUGCGGACGCGUGCGUUCCUUUAAGUGCACCAAGCUUGUCGAUGCGCAGCAUCGACAAAGCCACCAACAAUGAUCGUUGUGGUGUGCAUGCUAGUGGAUUUAAAGGAGCGCACGCGUGGUAGGAGAGCGUUCUGUAAGCCUGUGAAGGUGUCUUGUAAAGGAUGCUGGAGGUAUCAGAAGUGCGAAUGCUGACAUGAGUAGCGAUAAAGGGGGUGAAAGGCCCCCUCGCCGUAAGCCCAAGGUUUCCUACGCAACGUUCAUCGGCGUAGGGUGAGUCGGCCCCUAAGGCGAGGCAGAGAUGCGUAGCUGAUGGGAAGCAGGUUAAUAUUCCUGCACCGUCGUAUGAUGCGAUGGGGGGACGGAUCGCGGAAGGUUGUCCGGGUGUUGGAAGUCCCGGUCCCUGCAUUGGAGAAGGCGCUCAGGCAAAUCCGGGCGCGGGAUUCAAGGAUGUGGGGCGAGCGGCCUAGAGCUGCGAAGCAAUUGGAAGUGGUUCCAAGAAAAGCCUCUAAGCUUCAGUCAUACGAGACCGUACCGCAAACCGACACAGGUGGGCGAGAUGAGUAUUCUAAGGCGCUUGAGAGAACUCGGGAGAAGGAACUCGGCAAAUUGGUACCGUAACUUCGGGAUAAGGUACGCCCUGGUAGCUUGACUGGCCUGCGCCAGAAGGGUGAAGGGGUUGCAAUAAAAUGGUGGCUGCGACUGUUUAAUAAAAACACAGCACUCUGCAAACACGAAAGUGGACGUAUAGGGUGUGACGCCUGCCCGGUGCCGGAAGAUUAAAUGAUGGGGUGCAAGCUCUUGAUUGAAGUCCCGGUAAACGGCGGCCGUAACUAUAACGGUCCUAAGGUAGCGAAAUUCCUUGUCGGGUAAGUUCCGACCUGCACGAAUGGCGUAACGAUGGCCACACUGUCUCCUCCCGAGACUCAGCGAAGUUGAAGUGUUUGUGAUGAUGCAAUCUCCCCGCGGCUAGACGGAAAGACCCCAUGAACCUUUACUGUAGCUUUGCAUUGGACUUUGAACCGAUCUGUGUAGGAUAGGUGGGAGGCUUAGAAGCGUGGACGCUAGUUCACGUGGAGCCGUCCUUGAAAUACCACCCUGGUUUGUUUGAGGUUCUAACCUUGGCCCGUGAAUCCGGGUCGGGGACAGUGCAUGGUAGGCAGUUUGACUGGGGCGGUCUCCUCCCAAAGUGUAACGGAGGAGUUCGAAGGUACGCUUGGUACGGUCGGACAUCGUACCUAAAGUGCAAUGGCAAAAGCGUGCUUAACUGCGAGACCGACAAGUCGAGCAGGUGCGAAAGCAGGACAUAGUGAUCCGGUGGUUCUGAAUGGAAGGGCCAUCGCUCAACGGAUAAAAGGUACUCUGGGGAUAACAGGCUGAUACCGCCCAAGAGUUCAUAUCGACGGCGGUGUUUGGCACCUCGAUGUCGGCUCAUCUCAUCCUGGGGCUGUAGCCGGUCCCAAGGGUAUGGCUGUUCGCCAUUUAAAGAGGUACGUGAGCUGGGUUUAAAACGUCGUGAGACAGUUUGGUCCCUAUCUGCCGUGGGCGUUGGAAUCUUGACGGGGGCUGCUCCUAGUACGAGAGGACCGGAGUGGACGUACCGCUGGUGUACCUGUUGUCUCGCCAGAGGCAUCGCAGGGUAGCUAUGUACGGAAGAGAUAACCGCUGAAAGCAUCUAAGCGGGAAACUCGCCUGAAGAUGAGGAUUCCCUGGAGGCUUGACCUCCUUGAAGGGUCGUUCGAGACCAGGACGUUGAUAGGCUGGGUGUGGAAGCGCAGUAAUGCGUUAAGCUAACCAGUACUAAUUGCCCGUAAGGCUUGAUCCUAUAACCAGUGUGUUUCA